CAGCACCGUCUUCACCGUCCCACCUGUUGGAGCUCUGACCGACGACUCCCAACGGCUAAGACUCAGGGAGGAGAUGUAACCUGGAAGGACUUGGACCCGUUUACACUCUUAAAGAUCAAUAAAGACCCCAAAGAACUUC